rnacentral:lncRNA from 1 species
GGUAGCCUCUGCAACAAUUUUUAACUCCCCGUGGUAAUCACCAUCAACCACACCUGUAAGAAUUCUGAGCCCUUUAUGCAGAGUGCUGCCUCUUCCCAGUAUCAGUCCCACAAUUCCCUCCGGCAAAGGGCCAAAGACUCCAGUUGGCAGGGUCUGGGGACCCAUCUGCGGAGUCAGUACUGCUCGGGAGGUGGAACUGAGGUCCAAUCCUGCACUUCCCGGCGUUCCCCUUGGGAGCUCCCAGAUAGAAAGGGGUUGGUCUGAGGAAGAUGACGAAGUCGCCCACUCCCCAGGGCACCAUUCCGUCCCUGGAUUGCCCCAUACACCUUGGCUUCCG